UGAAGGUGACGCCUGCCCAGUGACAUAAAGUUUAACGGCCGCGGUCUCCUAACCGUGCAAAGGUAGCGCAAUCAAUUGUCCCAUAAAUCGAGACUUGUAUGAAUGGCCAAACGAGGUCUUAACUGUCUCUUGCAAGUAAUCAGUGAAAUUGAUCUCCCCGUGCAAAAGCGGGGAUAAAUUCAUAAGACGAGAAGACCCUGUGGAACUUAAAAACCAGCAGCCACCCCAAACCAUAUCUAAACCUACAAGGCUCACAACCAAGAACAACUGGCUAGCAUUUUUUCGGUUGGGGCGACCUUGGAGAAAAACAUAUCCUCCAAAAAUAAGACCAUAUAUCUUAACCAAGAUCAACCACUCAACGUACUAACAGUAACCAGACCCAGCAUAGCUGAUCAAUGGACCAAGCUACCCCAGGGAUAACAGCGCUAUCCCCCUCAAGAGCCCAUAUCGACAGGGGGGUUUACGACCUCGAUGUUGGAUCAGGACAUCCUAAUGGUGCAGCCGCUAUUAAC
rnacentral:rRNA from 1 species